AUGGCUCAGGACGAACGCUGGCGGCGUGCUUAACACAUGCAAGUCGAACGAUGAACCGCUUUCGGGCGGGGAUUAGUGGCGAACGGGUGAGUAACACGUGGGCAAUCUGCCCUGCACUCUGGGACAAGCCCUGGAAACGGGGUCUAAUACCGGAUAUGACUGUCCAUCGCAUGGUGGAUGGUGUAAAGCUCCGGCGGUGCAGGAUGAGCCCGCGGCCUAUCAGCUUGUUGGUGAGGUAGUGGCUCACCAAGGCGACGACGGGUAGCCGGCCUGAGAGGGCGACCGGCCACACUGGGACUGAGACACGGCCCAGACUCCUACGGGAGGCAGCAGUGGGGAAUAUUGCACAAUGGGCGAAAGCCUGAUGCAGCGACGCCGCGUGAGGGAUGACGGCCUUCGGGUUGUAAACCUCUUUCAGCAGGGAAGAAGCGAAAGUGACGGUACCUGCAGAAGAAGCGCCGGCUAACUACGUGCCAGCAGCCGCGGUAAUACGUAGGGCGCAAGCGUUGUCCGGAAUUAUUGGGCGUAAAGAGCUCGUAGGCGGCUUGUCACGUCGGUUGUGAAAGCCCGGGGCUUAACCCCGGGUCUGCAGUCGAUACGGGCAGGCUAGAGUUCGGUAGGGGAGAUCGGAAUUCCUGGUGUAGCGGUGAAAUGCGCAGAUAUCAGGAGGAACACCGGUGGCGAAGGCGGAUCUCUGGGCCGAUACUGACGCUGAGGAGCGAAAGCGUGGGGAGCGAACAGGAUUAGAUACCCUGGUAGUCCACGCCGUAAACGGUGGGCACUAGGUGUGGGCAACAUUCCACGUUGUCCGUGCCGCAGCUAA
rnacentral:rRNA from 1 species